AAAACGACUCUCGGCAACGGAUAUCUCGGCUCUCGCAUCGAUGAAGAACGUAGCGAAAUGCGAUACUUGGUGUGAAUUGCAGAAUCCCGUGAACCAUCGAGUCUUUGAACGCAAGUUGCGCCCAAAACCUUCUGGUCGAGGGCACGUCUGCCUGGGUGUCACGC
rnacentral:rRNA from 1 species